AACAAACGCUGGCGGCGUGUCUUAAGCAUGCAAGUUGAGCGGCAAGGAGGAGAGAUCCUCCCUAGAGCGGCGGACUGGUGAGUAACGCGUGGGUAAUCUAUCGUAGGCAUGGGGAUAGUCACUAGAAAUAGUGGGUAAUACCGAAUACGUUCCAUGAGGGGAGUAUUCAUGGAAGAAAGGGUGCUACGGCACUGGCCUUAGGUGAGCUCGCGUCCCAUUAGCUAGUUGGUGAGGUAAAGGCCCACCAAGGCGAUGAUGGGUAGCCGGCCUGAGAGGGUGUACGGCCACACUGGGACUGAGAUACGGCCCAGACUCCUACGGGAGGCAGCAGCUAAGAAUAUUCCGCAAUGGACGAAGGUCUGACGGAGCGACGCCGCGUGGAUGAAGAAGGCCGAAAGGUUGUAAAGUUCUUUUGCUAGGGGAGAAUAAGUGAGGGAGGGAAUGGCCCUCAUGAUGACAAGGACUAGCGAAUAAGCCCCGGCCAACUACGUGCCAGCAGCCCG
rnacentral:rRNA from 1 species